rnacentral:rRNA from 1 species
GAUGAACGCUGGCGGCGUGCCUAAUACAUGCAAGUCGAGCGAACGGACGAGAAGCUUGCUUUUCUGAUGUUAGCGGCGGACGGGUGAGUAACACGUGGAUAACCUACCUAUAAGACUGGGAUAACUUCGGGAAACCGGAGCUAAUACCGGAUAAUAUUUUGAACCGCAUGGUUCAAAAGUGAAAGACGGUCUUGCUGUCACUUAUAGAUGGAUCCGCGCUGCAUUAGCUAGUUGGUAAGGUAACGGCUUACCAAGGCAACGAUGCAUAGCCGACCUGAGAGGGUGAUCGGCCACACUGGAACUGAGACACGGUCCAGACUCCUACGGGAGGCAGCAGUAGGGACUCUUCCGCAAUGGGCGAAAGCCUGACGGAGCAACGCCGCGUGAGUGGUGAAGGUCUUCGGAUCGUAAAACUCUGUUAUUAGGGAAGAACAUAUGUGUAAGUAACUGUGCACAUCUUGACGGUACCUAAUCAGAAAGCCACGGCUAACUACGUG